rnacentral:rRNA from 1 species
AUGCCCCAACCGGCGCUGCCACCGUCGGCGGCGGCCACCGCUGACCCCGAGCCAUCCGGGACCCGGGCAAGGGAGAUGGACGACGAGGACCUCGUGGAGGAGCUCCUCGCCACCGUCAAUUCGGCCCGCGCUUACUCGGAAUUCCGCCGCACGCAGCGAAAGGAAUGCCACAACCUUCUUCGCUGGCUGCAGCUCAUCCUUCCGCUGCUCGAGGAGCUCCGCGAUUCCGCGCCCCGGCUCACCGAUGACGCCUACCGCCGCCUCACCCUCCUCGGGCGGGCCUUGUCCGCCGCGCGCCGCCUCCUCCGAUCCUGCAACGACGGCAGCAAAAUCUUUCUGGCGCUGGAGAGCGAGGCUGUGCUGGGGAGGUUCCGCGCUGUGUACGAGAAGAUGAACUCUGCGCUGGAUGGAAUGCCCUACGCGGAGCUCGCCAUUUCCGAUGAAGUCACCGAGCAGGUGGAGCUGAUGAACGCUCAGCUGAUGAGAUGCAAGAAGAGAACGGACACGCAAGACAUAGAGUUGUCAAUGGAUCUCAUGGUGAUACUCCAGAACAACAAGGACGAGGAGAGGAAUGCGGACGGGGCAAUACUGGAUAGGCUGGCCAGCAAGCUGGAGCUGCAGAUGCUGCCGGAUCUGAGGGCGGAGACGGUGGCCAUAAAGAAGCUGAUCAACGAGCGGAACGGGCAGCAUGCGGACAGCACAAAGCAGAUCAUCGAGCUCCUCCACAAGUUCAAGGCGAUCGCUGGCAUUGACGAGAAAAAUGUCCUCGGUAGCGAGGUCUUCGUGACCAAGUCCCUCGACAAGUGCCCCUCGUUGAUGAUCCCGGACGACUUCCUCUGCCCUAUCACGUUGGAGAUCAUGACGGAUCCUGUCAUUGUCGCCAGUGGACAGACGUACGAGAGGAGAAGCAUCCAGAAGUGGCUGGACAGUGGGGAGAGGACAUGCCCGAAGAUGCGGCAGCCAUUGGCGCACCUUUCGCUGGCGCCCAACUACGCGCUCAAGAACCUGAUCCUGCAGUGGUGCGACAAGCACAAGGUGGAGCUGCAGAGGAGGGAGCCGGAGCCCGUGGCCGAGCAGGACGGGCACCCGAGAGAGGACAUCCCGUCGCUGGUGGAAGCGCUGUCGUCGAUCCACCCUGACGUGCAGCGAAAAGCGGCCAAGAAGGUCCGGAUGCUCUCCAAGGAGUCCCCGGAGAACAGGGCUCUCAUUGUUGGCAAUGGCGGCAUCCCCGCCCUGAUCGGCCUGCUGGCCUACCCGGACAAGAAGGUGCAGGAGAACACGGUGACCUCGCUGCUGAACCUGUCCAUUGACCAUGGCAACAAGCUUCUCAUUACCAAGGGGGGCGCCAUCCCGCUCAUCAUCGAGAUCCUCCGGAACGGCAGCGCGGAGGGGCAGGAGAACUCGGCGGCGACGCUCUUCAGCCUGUCCAUGCUCGACGAGAACAAGGCCACGAUCGGGACCCUUGGCGGCAUCGCGCCGCUGGUGGAGCUCCUGACCAACGGCACCGUCCGGGGCAAGAAGGACGCCACCACGGCUAUCUUCAACCUCAUCCUCAACCAGCAGAACAAGGUCAGGGCCACCCAGGCCGGCAUCGUCCCAGCGCUAAUGAAGGUCAUCGACGACAGGAGCCUUGGAAUGGUCGACGAGGCGCUCUCCAUCUUUCUGCUGCUGUCGUCGCAUCCAACCUGUCUUGGAGAGAUCGGGACAACGCCAUUCGUGGAGAAGCUCGUGCAGCUUAUCAAGGAAGGCACGCCCAAGAACAAGGAGUGCGCGCUGUCCGUCCUGCUGGAGCUGGGAUCCAAGAAGCAGACGCUCCUGGUGCACGCGCUCAGGUUCGGCCUCCACGAGCACCUCUCACAGAUCGCUAAGACUGGCACCAGUAGAGCGCAGAGGAAGGCCAACUCUCUCAUUCAGAUAGCAAAAAAGUGCUACUGA